AUGCACGCUGGCGGCGUGCCUAAUACAUGCAAGUCGCGCGAACGGACGAGAAGCUUGCUUUUCUGAUGUUAGCGGCGGACGGGUGAGUAACACGUGGAUAACCUACCUAUAAGACUGGGAUAACUUCGGGAAACCGGAGCUAAUACCGGAUAAUAUUUUGAACCGCAUGGUUCAAAAGUGAAAGACGGUCUUGCUGUCACUUAUAGAUGGAUCCGCGCUGCAUUAGCUAGUUGGUAAGGUAACGGCUUACCAAGGCAACGAUGCAUAGCCGACCUGAGAGGGUGAUCGGCCACACUGGAACUGAGACACGGUCCAGACUCCUACGGGAGGCAGCAGUAGGGAAUCUUCCGCAAUGGGCGAAAGCCUGACGGAGCAACGCCGCGUGAGUGAUGAAGGUCUUCGAAUCGUAAAACUCUGUUAUUAGGGAAGAACAUAUGUGUAAGUAACUGUGCACAUCUUGACGGUACCUAAUCAGAAAGCCACGGCUAACUACGUG
rnacentral:rRNA from 1 species